rnacentral:rRNA from 1 species
AGAGUUUGAUCCUGGCUCAGGAUGAAUGCUGGCGGCGUGCUUAACACAUGCAAGUCGAACGAAGUGGAUUUUUUCGGAAUGAAACUUAGUGGCGGACGGGUGAGUAACGCGUGGGUAACCUGCCUUAUACAGGGGGAUAACAGUUAGAAAUGACUGCUAAUACCGCAUAAGCGCACAGUACCGCAUGGUACAGUGUGAAAAACUCCGGUGGUAUGAGAUGGACCCGCGUCUGAUUAGCUAGUUGGUGAGGUAACGGCCCACCAAGGCAACGAUCAGUAGCCGGCCUGAGAGGGUGGUCGGCCACAUUGGGACUGAGACACGGUCCAGACUCCUACGGGAGGCAGCAGUGAGGAAUAUUGGUCAAUGGUCUGACGACUGAACCAGCCAUGCCGCGUGAAGGUGACGGCCCUAUGGGUCUUAAACUUCUUUUGCAAGGGAGCAAUAAGUGUUACGUGUAGCACGAUGAGAGUACCUUGCGAAUAAGCAUCGGCUAACUACGUGCCAGCAGCCGCGGUAAUACGUAGGGCGCAAGCGUUAUCCGGAAUUAUUGGGCGUAAAGAGCUCGUAGGCGGUUUGUCGCGUCUGCUGUGAAAGCCCGGGGCUCAACCCCGGGUCUGCAGUGGGUACGGGCAGACUAGAGUGCAGUAGGGGAGACUGGAAUUCCUGGUGUAGCGGUGAAAUGCGCAGAUAUCAGGAGGAACACCGAUGGCGAAGGCAGGUCUCUGGGCUGUAACUGACGCUGAGGAGCGAAAGCAUGGGGAGCGAACAGGAUUAGAUACCCUGGUAGUCCAUGCCGUAAACGUUGGGCACUAGGUGUGAGGGACAUUCCACGUUUUCCGCGCCGUAGCUAACGCAUUAAGUGCCCCGCCUGGGGAGUACGGCCGCAAGGCUAAAACUCAAAGGAAUUGACGGGGGCCCGCACAAGCGGCGGAGCAUGCGGAUUAAUUCGAUGCAACGCGAAGAACCUUACCAAGGCUUGACAUGAACCGGAAAGGCCUGGAAACAGGUCCCCCACUUGUGGCCGGUUUACAGGUGGUGCAUGGUUGUCGUCAGCUCGUGUCGUGAGAUGUUGGGUUAAGUCCCGCAACGAGCGCAACCCUCGUUCUAUGUUGCCAGCGGGUUAUGCCGGGGACUCAUAGGAGACUGCCGGGGUCAACUCGGAGGAAGGUGGGGACGACGUCAAAUCAUCAUGCCCCUUAUGUCUUGGGCUUCACGCAUGCUACAAUGGCCGGUACAAAGGGUUGCGAUACUGUGAGGUGGAGCUAAUCCCAAAAAGCCGGUCUCAGUUCGGAUUGAGGUCUGCAACUCGACCUCAUGAAGUUGGAGUCGCUAGUAAUCGCAGAUCAGCAACGCUGCGGUGAAUACGUUCCCGGGCCUUGCACACACAGGCCGUCAAG